GACGAACGCUGGCGGCGUGCCUAAUACAUGCAAGUCGAGCGAAGUUUUUCUGGUGCUUGCACUAGAAAAACUUAGCGGCGAACGGGUGAGUAACACGUAAAGAACCUGCCUCAUAGACUGGGACAACUAUUGGAAACGAUAGCUAAUACCGGAUAACAGCAUUAACUGCAUGGUCGAUGUUUAAAAGUUGGUUUUGCUAACACUAUGAGAUGGCUUUGCGGUGCAUUAGCUAGUUGGUGGGGUAAAGGCCUACCAAGGCGACGAUGCAUAGCCGACCUGAGAGGGUGAUCGGCCACACUGGGACUGAGACACGGCCCAGACUCCUACGGGAGGCAGCAGUAGGGAAUCUUCCGCAAUGGGCGAAAGCCUGACGGAGCAACGCCGCGUGAGUGAAGAAGGAUUUCGGCUCGUAAAGCUCUGUUGUUAGGGAAGAAUGAUUGUGUAGUAACUAUACACAGUAGAGACGGUACCUAACCAGAAAGCCACGGCUAACUACGUGCCAGCAGCCGCGGUAAUACGUAGGUGGCAAGCGUUGUCCGGAAUUAUUGGGCGUAAAGCGCGCGCAGGUGGUUUAAUAAGUCUGAUGUGAAAGCCCACGGCUCAACCGUGGAGGGUCAUUGGAAACUGUUAAACUUGAGUGCAGGAGAGAAAAGUGGAAUUCCUAGUGUAGCGGUGAAAUGCGUAGAGAUUAGGAGGAACACCAGUGGCGAAGGCGGCUUUUUGGCCUGUAACUGACACUGAGGCGCGAAAGCGUGGGGAGCAAACAGG
rnacentral:rRNA from 1 species